CCCCUCUCCUCCUCCAUCCCCCUGUCUUCCUCCCCCCUGCCUCAGUGGUAAAGAAGUGUCUCUGAUAAAGAAGAGCCUCUGAUAAAGAAGUGUCUGAGGUAAAGAAGUGAGACACUGGUAAAGAAGUGUCUCUGAGGUAAAGAAAUGUCUCAGUGGUAAAGAAGUGUCUCUGAGGUAAAGAAGUGUCUCAGUGGUAAAGAAGUGUCUCAGUGGUAAAGAAGUGUCUCAGUGGUAAAGAAGUGUCUCAGUGGUAAAGAAGUGUCUCAGUGGUAAAGAAGUGUCUCAGUGGUAAAGAAGUGUCUCUGAAGUAAAGAAGUGUCUCUGAGGUAAAGAAGUGUCUCUGAAGUAAAGAAGUGUCUCUGAGGUAAAGAAGUGUCUCAGUGGUAAAGAAGUGUCUCAGUGGUAAAGAAGUGUCUCUGAAGUAAAGAAGUGUCUCUGAAGUAAAGAAGUGUCUCUGAGGUAAAGAAGUGUCUCAGUGGUAAAGAAGUGUCUCAGUGGUAAAGAAGUGUCUCUGAAGUAAAGAAGUGUCUCUGAAGUAAAGAAGUGUCUCUGAGGUAAAGAAGUGUCUCUCGGUGGUAAAGAAGUGUCUCUCGUGGUUGAAGAAGAGUCGUUCGGUGGGUAAAGAAGUGUCUCAGUGGUAAAGAAGUGUUUCUGAUAAAGAAGUGUCUUUAGUGGUUGAAGAAGUGUUGUUGAGAAAGUAGUUAUUUCUAGACUAAUUAGAGACUGAUAGACAUCGGGUAUAACAGAAAAGUUGAGAUAAGAGUGAUGUUAUGAAAUAGGUAUGUCUACUAGAUAGAGACUGGGGAGACAGAGAGAGAGAGACACAGAGAGAGAGAGAGAGACACCGAGAGAGAGAGAGAGAGAGAGAGAUAGUAAAAGAGGGAAAGAGAGAGAGAGAGACACCGAGAGAGAGAGAGAGAGAGAGACACCGAGAGAAGGAGACAUCGAGAGAGAGAGGACAGAAAGAGAGACAGUGUGUGUGUGUGUGUGUGCACAAGUACAGUGAAAGGCCUUUCUUGUAUGCUCUAAACCCACAACGUACUAAUCAAUAUCAAUGUAGUACUAAAAUUAACAUUGUAGAACAAAAACACAUGAGAUAUAAAACUAAUAAAUAAUAAGAACAGGAGAAAGUAAGGUGACCAUAUUCAGGGUCAGUACCAUAUUAACAAUGGACAGGGUCAGUACCAUAUUAACAAUGGACAGGGUCAGUACCAUAUUAACAAUGUACAGGGUCAGUACCAUAUUAACAAUGUACAGGGAUACUGGAGGGAUGGAGGUAGAUAUGUAUAGGGGGAAGGGGACAAUAUACAGGAUCAGUACCAUAUUAACAAUGUACAGGGAUACUGGAGUGAUGGAGGUAGAUAUGUAUAGGGGAAGGGGA
rnacentral:lncRNA from 1 species